AGAAAAAAGUGAAGUACGUCAAAUUAAAGGAUGUAGGAGAAGCCGAUGGAGAUGGGGAGUAAAGCCCGGAAUAAACACAGACCUGUAAAUUAUGCCCCGUUACCACUUUACUGUUUGGUUUUCAUUUCAGGAGAAGUCUUUACUGGAAAUGGAGAAGGAAAUAUGUCAGCAUUGCCAAAGCAUGUCAGCUCCUAGAAGAGGUUCAUGGGAAAUUCCUGCUAACCAGUAGCAUGGAGGGAUUAGCCAUUUGGCCUCUAAAACAGCAACUUCAUUUCAUCAAGUUCCUUGUGGUCUCUGAGGGAGAACAGGAAUGUACACCUCUUACAACUUCAUUGUGGCUCCCGGCUUUGCCAAGGAAGAAGGAAUAAUUCCUGGAAAGUGGUAGCUUUCCUGAUGUUUAACUUGCUUAGGAAGGAACAGUGGGGUACUGGAGAAACUAAUGUAAGGACCCUCGGGGAGAAACGAGUGUGUUUGCUGCAUUUUGAGUUCUCUUUCCCUUGCGAAUGGAAAGGACCGGCGUGGAGACGAGGCACUGGAAAUGGGGGUGGGGAAAUUUAUUGGGGCUGAAUUGGAUGUUGGCAGACUGAGGAGUUCUGAAAACUCAGUGAGGCCUGAUGCCCCCUCUUCACAGUCCUCGAACUUCCUUAGUGCAGGGAAACAUUGGACAUUACCUAUAAAACAGGGAUAGGACUAAAAAUGUUCUUACUCUAGACUGUAAGCUCACUGUGGAUGGGGAAUAUGUAGUAUUA